UUGGUUAAGUUAGAAAGGGCGCACGGUGGAUGCCUUGGCACUAGGAGCCGAAGAAGGACGGGACUAACACCGAUAUGCUUUGGGGAGCUGUACGUAAGCGUUGAUCCAGAGAUUUCCGAAUGGGGGAACCCACUAUCUUUAGUCGGAUAGUAUCCUUACGUGAAUACAUAGCGUGAGGAAGGCAGACCCAGGGAACUGAAACAUCUAAGUACCUGGAGGAAGAGAAAGAAAAAUCGAUUUCCUGAGUAGCGGCGAGCGAAACGGAAAGAGCCCAAACCAAGAAGCUUGCUUCUUGGGGUUGUAGGACACUCUAUACGGAGUUACAAAAGAAAGUUAUAAAUGAAGCGGUCUGGAAAGGCCCGCCAAAGACGGUAACAGCCCGGUAGUUGAAAUGGCUUUCCCUCCAGAGUGGAUCCUGAGUACGGCGGAACACGUGAAAUUCCGUCGGAAUCCGGGAGGACCAUCUCCCAAGGCUAAAUACUCCCUAGUGACCGAUAGUGAACCAGUACCGUGAGGGAAAGGUGAAAAGCACCCCGGAAGGGGAGUGAAACAGUUCCUGAAACCGUGUGCCUACAAGUAGUUAGAGCCCGUUAAUGGGUGAUAGCGUGCCUUUUGUAGAAUGAACCGGCGAGUUACGAUUUGUUGCAAGGUUAAGCGGAAAAAGCGGAGCCGUAGCGAAAGCGAGUCUGAAUAGGGCGCAUAAGUAACAGGUCGUAGACCCGAAACCAGGUGAUCUACCCAUGUCCAGGAUGAAGGUAAGGUAAUACUUACUGGAGGUCCGAACCCACGCACGUUGAAAAGUGCGGGGAUGAGGUGUGGGUAGCGGAGAAAUUCCAAUCGAACUUGGAGAUAGCUGGUUCUCUCCGAAAUAGCUUUAGGGCUAGCCUCGAGGUAAAGAGUCAUGGAGGUAGAGCACUGUUUGGACUAGGGGCCCUUCUCGGGUUACCGAAUUCAGAUAAACUCCGAAUGCCAUGUACUUAUACUCGGGAGUCAGACUGCGAGUGAUAAGAUCCGUAGUCGAAAGGGAAACAGCCCAGACCACCAGUUAAGGUCCCCAAAUAUAUGUUAAGUGGAAAAGGAUGUGGGGUUGCUUAGACAACCAGGAUGUUGGCUUAGAAGCAGCCACCAUUGAAAGAGUGCGUAAUAGCUCACUGGUCGAGUGACCCCGCGCCGAAAAUGUACCGGGGCUAAACAUAUUACCGAAACUGUGGAUGAACCUCUUCGGAGGUUCGUGGUAGGAGAGCGUUCUAAGGGCGGUGAAGUCAGACCGGAAGGACUGGUGGAGCGCUUAGAAGUGAGAAUGCCGGUAUGAGUAGCGAAAGAAGGGUGAGAAUCCCUUCCACCGAAUAUCUAAGGUUUCCUGAGGAAGGCUCGUCCGCUCAGGGUUAGUCGGGACCUAAGCCGAGGCCGAUAGGCGUAGGCGAUGGACAACAGGUAGAGAUUCCUGUACCAGUGCUAAUUGUUUAACCGAUGGGGUGACACAGAAGGAUAGGGAAUCGCACGAAUGGAAAUGUGCGUCCAAGCAGUGAGUGUGAGAAGUAGGC
rnacentral:rRNA from 1 species